rnacentral:rRNA from 1 species
UACGUAGGGUGCGAGCGUUAAUCGGAAUUACUGGGCGUAAAGCGUGCGCAGGCGGUUCGUUGUGUCGGCGGUGAAAGCCCCGGGCUUAACCUGGGAAUGGCCGUUGAAACUGGCGGACUGGAGUGUGGCAGAGGGGGGUGGAAUUCCGCGUGUAGCAGUGAAAUGCGUAGAGAUGCGGAGGAACACCGAUGGCGAAGGCAGCCCCCUGGGCUACCACUGACGCUCAGGCACGAAAGCGUGGGGAGCAAACAGG